UUUACUUGAAAAAUUAGAGUGUCAAAGCAGGCCUAUGCUCGAAUACAUUAGCAUGGAAUAAUAGAAUAGGACGUGUGGUUCUAUUUUGUUGGUUUCUAGGACCGCCGUAAUGAUUAAUAGGGAUAGUCGGGGGCAUCAGUAUUCAAUUGUCAGAGGUGAAAUUCUUGGAUUUAUUGAAGACUAACUACUGCGAAAGCAUUUGCCAAGGAUGUUUUCAUUAAUCAGUGAACGAAAGUUAGGGGAUCGAAGACGAUCAGAUACCGUCGUAGUCUUAACCAUAAACUAUGCCGACUAGGGAUCGGGCGAUGU
rnacentral:rRNA from 1 species